UACGUAGGGUGCGAGCGUUGUCCGGAAUUACUGGGCGUAAAGAGCUCGUAGGUGGUUUGUCGCGUUGUUCGUGAAAACUCACAACUCAAUUGUGGGCGUGCGGGCGAUACGGGCAGACUGGAGUACUGCAGGGGAGAGUGGAAUUCCUGGUGUAGCGGUGAAAUGCGCAGAUAUCAGGAAGAACACCUAUGGCGAAGGCAGCUCUCUGGGACGGUACUGACGCUGAGACGCGAAAGCGUGGGGAGCGAACAGG
rnacentral:rRNA from 1 species